CAGUCGCCGCGGGAAUACGUAGGGUGCAAGCGUUAAUCGGAAUUACUGGGCGUAAAGCGUGCGCAGGCGGUUCGCUAAGACAGAUGUGAAAUCCCCGGGCUUAACCUGGGAACUGCAUUUGUGACUGGCGGGCUAGAGUAUGGCAGAGGGGGGUAGAAUUCCACGUGUAGCAGUGAAAUGCGUAGAGAUGUAGAGGAAUACCGAUGGCGAAGGCAGCCCCCUGGGAUAAUACUGACGUUCAUGCUCGAAAGCGUGGGUAGCGAACAGGAUUAGAUACCCCCGUAGUCCCUGUCUCUUAUAC
rnacentral:rRNA from 1 species